rnacentral:rRNA from 1 species
UAACAACCUGGAAACAGAUGCUAAUACCGGAUAAUAACAGAUGAUGCCUAUCAACUGUUUAAAAGAUGGUUCUGCUAUCACUCUUGGAUUGACCUGCGGUGCAUUAGCUAGUUGGUAGGGUAACGGCCUACCAAGGCGAUGAUGCAUAGCCGAGUUGAGAGACUGAUCGGCCACAUUGGGACUGAGACACGGCCCAAACUCCUACGGGAGGCAGCAGUU